rnacentral:rRNA from 1 species
AGCAGCCGCGGUAAUUCCAGCUCCAAUAGCGUAUAUUAAAGUUGUUGCAGUUAAAAAGCUCGUAGUUGAAUUUCGGGAUCGACGGGUCGGUCGCGCCUCCGGUGUGUACUGGCCCUGUCGGUUUCUCCCUUCUGACGAACCACGAUGUCAUUAAUUUGAUGUCGUGGGAAAUCAGGACUGUUACUUUGAAAAAAUUAGAGUGUUUAAAGCAGGCAUUCGCUUGAAUACAUUAGCAUGGAAUAAUGAAAUAGGACGUUUGAUCUUAUUUUGUUGGUUUCUAAGAUCGACGUAAUGAUUAAUAGGGAUAGUUGGGGGCAUUAGUAUUCAAUUGUCAGAGGUGAAAUUCUUGGAUUUAUUGAAGACUAACUACUGCGAAAGCAUUUGCCAAGGAUGUUUUCAUUAAUCAAGAACGAAAGUUAGGGGAUCGAAGACGAUCAGAUACCGUCGUAGUCUUAACCAUAAACUAUGCCGACUAGGGAUCGGAUGAUGUUAAUUUUUAAUGACUCAUUCGGCGCCUUAC